rnacentral:rRNA from 1 species
ACCGUGCUAAGGUAGCAUAAUCAUUUGCCUCUUAAUUGGUGGCUAGUAUGAAUGGACACACGCAAGCACUACUGUCUCAUUAAUAUAAAUAAAAAUUAGCAUUCAGGUGAAGAGACCUGAAUAAAAUAAAAAGACAAAAAGACCCUAUGGAGCUUUAUUUUAACCCCAUUCACUAUACAAUAUUAAUAAAACAUACUUAUGGCUACAAAAUUUAGUUGGGGCGACUCAGGAAAACUAUAAAUCUUCCUUCACCUACAAGAAAAUAACUCUUCCUAUGAUCCGCUUUGCGAAUAUAAACCUAGCUACCCUAGGGAUAACAGGCUAAUUCUUCUCGAGAGCCCGAAUUGACAGAAGAGAUUGGCACCUCG